GCGACCCCAGGUCAGGCGGGACUACCCGCUGAAUUUAAGCAUAUAAAUAAGCGGAGGA
rnacentral:rRNA from 3 species